GUCACUGUAACAUCUAUAAUGGGUCUAGUUUAACCAGGUUGAAUCAAGACUGUUCAAGGCAACAAUUGGACUCUCCACAAGCUAAUUGUGAACAUGAACAGGAAUCAGGUAUUCCAUGGCUGGUAGAUGUACUAUUCCUGUACAAAAAAUGGUAAGGCACUAGUUAUCUUAACACAUUUUCUGGGUCGUCUAUGGCGCCAAUUCCCAUGACAACCUAAAAGUUAUCCUUGGCACGGCGAAUGGCUCCCAAGGCUUCUCCAUCAUCUGCAGUGGCUGGAAUGUUCAGCAACUUCCGGAUUUCUGUACUUGAAGUUCGAAGAAAUGGAUUACAUAGCUUCUCUGCUUUCAGGGUUGUUGGAAUUGUUGGCAAGCCCUUCCUGCGAAGAUUGGCAACAUGUGCAGCAUAUGACUGCAAUUCUUCAUUUCCAGGUUCUAUAGAAAGUGCAAACUUCGAAUUACUCAAUGUAUACUCGUGGCCGCAGUAGACAUUUGUAUCGUCUGGUAAGGAUGUGAUUUUCCCCAGUGAAGAGAGCAUCUGCUCGGGAGUUCCUUCAAAAAGUUUACCACAAGACAAGCUGAACAGUGUGUCUCCUGUGAAAACUGCCUUAGAUCUCGGGAAGUAAAAACUGAUAUGCCCUCGUGUAUGACCAGGAGUCUCCAUGACAAACACCUCAUGGCCUGCAAACAUCCAUUGGUCUCCAUCAUUGAGGGCUAUGUCAAUACCAGGUAUUCUAUCACUGUCUACUCCAGAUCCAAUCACCUUUGCCCCAUACCUUGCUUUUAACUCCAUGUUGCCACCAGUGUGAUCAUGGUGAUGAUGUGUGUUCAAAAUGUAAGUCAAAUUACGGUUGUUUCUACUCAGUGCAUCUAUAACCGGAACAGCUUCAGAAGGAUCCACAACACCAACUGUUCCAGUAUCCACGUCAUGCAAUAGAUAUGCAUAAUUAUCCUGGAGACAUGGUACCAGCUCAAUUUGCAAAGAUGAAGACGUACUGGUAAUGCUACAGAGUUUAGAAACUCGAAGUGAUCGACUAACACCACGUACAGUCUUGAACGGCAUUGAAAGGAGCUGCAUAAACCCAUACAAUAGAUUCUUCCUAAGAGAAAGUUGCCUCAUGCCAGGCCAUACACAAACCCCCGUCCGAGACUUAGAACAAGGGAAGGAAGCCAUGGCGGAAGGUGCAAUUUUAGAGAAAGUUCGCAUAAUUUAGCAUUUGCAGUUUUGUUUGUAAAAAAGAGGUGUGUAGAGGACGG
rnacentral:misc_RNA from 1 species